CAAGACCUCAUGCUCGUGGAGCGGCCGAUAUCUGAUUAGCUAGUUGGUAGGGUAAAAGCCUACCAAGGCAUCGAUCAGUAGCUGGUCUGAGAGGACGACCAGCCACACUGGAACUGAGACACGGUCCAGACUCCUACGGGAGGCAGCAGUGGGGAAUUUUGGACAAUGGGCGAAAGCCUGAUCCAGCAAUGCCGCGUGAGUGAAGAAGGCCUUCGGGUUGUAAAGCUCUUUUGUCAGGGAAGAAACGGUGAGAGCUAAUAUCUUUUGCUAAUGACGGUACCUGAAGAAUAAGCACCGGCUAACUACGUGCCAGCAGCCGCGGUAAUACGUAGGGUGCAAGCGUUAAUCGGAAUUACUGGGCGUAAAGCGUGCGCAGGCGGUUUUGUAAGUCUGAUGUGAAAUCCCCGGGCUCAACCUGGGAAUUGCAUUGGAGACUGCAAGGCUAGAAUCUGGCAGAGGGGGGUAGAAUUCCACGUGUAGCAGUGAAAUGCGUAGAUAUGUGGAGGAACACCGAUGGCGAAGGCAGCCCCCUGGGUCAAGAUUGACGCUCAUGCACGAAAGCGUGGGGAGCAAACAGGAUUAGAUACCCUGGUAGUCCACGCCCUAAACGAUGUCUACUAGUUGUCGGGUCUUAAUUGACUUGGUAACGCAGCUAACGCGUGAAGUAGACCGCCUGGGGAGUACGGUCGCAAGAUUAAAACUCAAAGGAAUUGACGGGGACCCGCACAAGCGGUGGAUGAUGUGGAUUAAUUCGAUGCAACGCGAAAAACCUUACCUACCCUUGACAUGGCUGGAAUCCUUGAGAGAUCAGGGAGUGCUCGAAAGAGAACCAGUACACAGGUGCUGCAUGGCUGUCGUCAGCUCGUGUCGUGAGAUGUUGGGUUAAGUCCCGCAACGAGCGCAACCCUUGUCAUUAGUUGCUACGAAAGGGCACUCUAAUGAGACUGCCGGUGACAAACCGGAGGAAGGUGGGGAUGACGUCAAGUCCUCAUGGCCCUUAUGGGUAGGGCUUCACACGUCAUACAAUGGUACAUACAGAGCGCCGCCAACCCGCGAGGGGGAGCUAAUCGCAGAAAGUGUAUCGUAGUCCGGAUUGUAGUCUGCAACUCGACUGCAUGAAGUUGGAAUCGCUAGUAAUCGCGGAUCAGCAUGUCGCGGUGAAUACGUUCCCGGGUCUUGUACACACCGCCCGUCACACCAUGGGAGCGGGUUUUACCAGAAGUAGGUAGCUUAACCGUAAGGAGGGCGCUUACCACGGUAGGAUUCGUGACUGGGGUGAAGUCGUAACAAGGUAGCCGUAUCGGAAGGUGCGGCUGGAUCACCU
rnacentral:rRNA from 1 species